CUUACCAGGUCCAGACACAGUUAGGAUUGACAGAUUGAUAGCUCUUUCUUGAUUCUGUGGGUGGUGGUGCAUGGCCGUUCUUAGUUGGUGGAGUGAUUUAUCUGGUUAAUUCCGAUAACGAACGAGACCUCAGCCUAUUAAUUAAAUAAAAAAAUAUAAGCAAUUAUAAGGGUUAAAUAAAAUUUAUUUAAUGCUUUUUAAGUGUUAAAUAAUUUUAUUUAAAACUUGUUUAUAUUUAUUUUUAUUUUCUUAAAGGGACACUUGGUGUUUAACCAAGGGAAGUUUGAGGCAAUAACAGGUCUGUGAUGCCCUUUAGAUGUUCUGGGCCGCACGCGCGCUACACUGAUAAAAUCAAUAAGUUUUUUUAAUUUAAUUCCUUGAUCGAAAGAUUUGGGUAAACUUUGAAAAUUUUAUCGUGCUGGGGAUUGUCAAUUGUAAUUAUUUGUCAUGAACGAGGAAUUCCUAGUAAACGUAAGUCAUCAGCUUACGUUGAUUACGUCCCUGCCCUUUGUACACACCGCCCGUC
rnacentral:rRNA from 1 species